GUGUCAGCCGCCGCGGUAAUACAGAGGGUGCAAGCGUUGUUCGGAAUUAUUGGGCGUAAAGCGCGUGUAGGCGGCUUUGCAAGUCGGGUGUGAAAGCCCUCAGCUUAACUGAGGAAGUGCGCCCGAAACUGCAGAGCUCGAGUACCGGAGAGGAUGGUGGAAUUCCCCAAGUAGAGGUGAAAUUCGUAGAUAUGGGGAGGAACACCGGUGGCGAAGGCGACCAUCUGGACGGAUACUGACGCUGAGACGCGAAAGCGUGGGUAGCAAACAGGAUUAGAUACCCGCGUAGUCC
rnacentral:rRNA from 1 species